GAUGAAGAACGUAGCGAAAUGCGAUAAGUAAUGCGAAUUGCAGAAUCCGUGAGUCAUCGAAUCUUUGAACGCACAUUGCGCCCGCCAGUAUUCUGGCGGGCAUGCCUGUUCGAGCGUCAUUUCAACCCUCAAGCCCAGCUUGGUGUUGGGGAUCGGCACAGGCGCCCUCGGGCGCCCGCCGUCCCCUAAAUCUAGUGGCGGUCCCGCUGCAGCCUCCUCUGCGUAGUAGUUUUCUCCUCGCAAGGGCAGCUCGGUGGCGACCUCGCCGUAAAACCCCCAACUUCUGAAAGGUUGACCUCGAAUCAGGUAGGAAUACCCGCUGAACUUAAGCAUAUCAAUAAGCGGAGGA
rnacentral:misc_RNA from 1 species